rnacentral:rRNA from 1 species
AGAGUUUGAUCCUGGCUCAGAAUCAACGCUGGCGGCGUGCCUCAGACAUGCAAGUCGAACGAUUAAACUUUCCUUCGGGGAAGAUAUAAAGUGGCGCACGGGUGAGUAACACGUAAGUAAUCUACCUUCGGAUGGGGAAUAACAGUCGGAAACGACUGCUAAUACCGCAUAAUGCAGCGGCAUCAUAAGAUGACAGUUGUUAAAGUAUUUAUACGUCUGGAGAGGAGCUUGCGGCAGAUUAGCUAGUUGGUAAGGUAACGGCUUACCAAGGCGACGAUCUGUAUCCGACCUGAGAGGGUGGUCGGACACACUGACACUGAAUAACGGGUCAGACUCCUACGGGAGGCAGCAGUCGGGAAUUUUGGGCAAUGGGCGAAAGCCUGACCCAGCAACGCCGCGUGAAGGAUGAAGUCUUUCGGGAUGUAAACUUCGUAAGAAUAGGAAGAAUAAAUGACGGUACUAUUUGUAAGGUCCGGCUAACUACGUGCCAGCAGCCGCGGUAAUACGUAGGGACCAAGCGUUGUUCGGAUUUACUGGGCGUAAAGGGCGCGUAGGCGGCGUGACAAGUCACUUGUGAAAUCUCCGGGCUUAACUCGGAACGGUCAAGUGAUACUGUUGUGCUAGAGUGCAGAUGGGGCAAUCGGAAUUCUUGGUGUAGCGGUGAAAUGCGUAGAUAUCAAGAGGAACACCUGAGGUGAAGACGGGUUGCUGGGCUGACACUGACGCUGAGGCGCGAAAGCUAGGGUAGCAAACGGGAUUAGAUACCCUGGUAGUCC